UACGUAGGGAGCAAGCGUUGUCCGGAAUCAUUGGGCGUAAAGCGCGCGUAGGCGGCCCGAUAAGUCCGCUGUGAAAGUCAACGGCUCAACUGUUGGAUGCCGGUGGAUACUGUCGGGCUAGAGUACGGAAGAGGCAAGUGGAAUUCCUGGUGUAGCGGUGGAAUGCGCAGAUAUCAGGAGGAACACCUAUAGCGAAGGCAGCUUGGUGGGAAGUUACUGACGCUAAGGCGCGAAAGCGUGGGGAGCGAACAGG
rnacentral:rRNA from 1 species